GGACGGGUGAGUAACACGUGGGUAACCUGCCCUUAAGUGGGGGAUAACAUUUGGAAACAGAUGCUAAUACCGCAUAGAUCCAAGAACCGCAUGGUUCUUGGCUGAAAGAUGGCGUAAGCUAUCGCUUUUGGAUGGACCCGCGGCGUAUUAGCUAGUUGGUGAGGUAAUGGCUCACCAAGGCGAUGAUACGUAGCCGAACUGAGAGGUUGAUCGGCCACAUUGGGACUGAGACACGGCCCAAACUCCUACGGGAGGCAGCAGUAGGGAAUCUUCCACAAUGGACGCAAGUCUGAUGGAGCAACGCCGCGUGAGUGAAGAAGGCUUUCGGGUCGUAAAACUCUGUUGUUGGAGAAGAAUGGUCGGCAGAGUAACUGUUGUCGGCGUGACGGUAUCCAACCAGAAAGCCACGGCUAACUACGUGCCAGCAGCCGCGGUAAUACGUAGGUGGCAAGCGUUAUCCGGAUUUAUUGGGCGUAAAGCGAGCGCAGGCGGUUUUUUAAGUCUGAUGUGAAAGCCCUCGGCUUAACCGAGGAAGCGCAUCGGAAACUGGGAAACUUGAGUGCAGAAGAGGACAGUGGAACUCCAUGUGUAGCGGUGAAAUGCGUAGAUAUAUGGAAGAACACCAGUGGCGAAGGCGGCUGUCUGGUCUGUAACUGACGCUGAGGCUCGAAAGCAUGGGUAGCGAACAGGAUUAGAUACCCUGGUAGUCCAUGCCGUAAACGAUGAAUGCUAGGUGUUGGAGGGUUUCCGCCCUUCAGUGCCGCAGCUAACGCAUUAAGCAUUCCGCCUGGGGAGUACGACCGCAAGGUUGAAACUCAAAGGAAUUGACGGGGGCCCGCACAAGCG
rnacentral:rRNA from 1 species